rnacentral:rRNA from 1 species
AGAAUUUGAUCUUGGUCAGGAUGAACGCUGGCGGCGUGCCUAACACAUGCAAGUCGAACGGAGUUAUUAUAUGAAGUUUCGGAUGGAUUAAUAAUAACUUAGUGGCGGACGGGUGAGUAACGCGUGGGUAACCUGCCUCACACAGGGGGAUAACAGUUGGAAACGGCUGCUAAAACCGCAUAAGCAUACGCUGUCGCAUGACAGAGUGUGAAAAUAUUUAUAGGUGUGAGAUGGGCCCGCGUCUGAUUAGCUAGUUGGUAGGGUAAUGGCCUACCAAGGCGACGAUCAGUAGCCGGCUUGAGAGAGUGACCGGCCACAUUGGGACUGAGACACGGCCCAAACUCCUACGGGAGGCAGCAGUGGGGAAUAUUGCACAAUGGGGGAAACCCUGAUGCAAGCGACGCCGCGUGAGUGAAGAAGUAUUUCGGUAUGUAAAGCUCUAUCAGCAGGGAAGAAAAUGACGGUACCUGACUAAGAAGCCCCGGCUAACUACGUGCCAGCCGCUGC